GAUGAACGCUGGCGGCGUGCCUAAUACAUGCAAGUCGAGCGAACGGACGAGAAGCUUGCUUUUCUGAUGUUAGCGGCGGACGGGUGAGUAACACGUGGAUGACCUACUUAUAACACUGGGAUAACUUCGGGAAACCGGAGCUAUUACCGGAUAAUAUUUUGAACCGCAUGGUUCAAAAGUGAAAGACGGUCUUGCUGUCACUUAUAGAUGGUAUCCGCGCUGCAUUAGCUAGUUGGUAAGGUAACGGCUUACCAAGGCAACGAUGCAUAGCCGACCUGAGAGGGNGAUCGGCCACACUGGAACUGAGACACGGUCCAGACUCCUACGGGAGGCAGCAGUAGGGAAUCUUCCGCAAUGGGCGAAAGCCUGACGGAGCAACGCCGCGUGAGUGAUGAAGGUCUUCUGAUCGUAAAACUCUGUUAUUAGGGAAGAACAUAUGUGUAAGUAACUGUGCACAUCUUGACGGUACCUAAUCAGAAAGCCACGGCUAACUACGUGCCAGCAGCCGCGGUAAUACGUAGGUGGCAAGCGUUAUCCGGAAUUUUUGGGCGUAAAGCGCGCGUAGGCGGUUUUUUAAGUCUGAUGUGAAAGCCCACGGCUCAACCGUGGAGGGUCAUUGGAAACUGGAAAACUUGAGUGCAGAAGAGGAAAGUGGAAUUCCAUGUGUAGCGGUGAAAUGCGCAGAGAUGUGGAGGAACACCAGUGGCGAAGGCGACUUUCUGGUCUGUAACUGACGCUGAUGUGCGAAAGCGUGGGGAUCAAACAGGAUUAGAUACCCUGGUAGUCCACGCCGUAAACGAUGAGUGCUAAGUGUUAGGGGGUUUCCGCCCCUUAGUGCUGCAGCUAACGCAUUAAGCACUCCGCCUGGGGAGUACGACCGCAAGGUUGAAACUCAAAGGAAUUGACGGGGGCCCGCACAAGCGGUGGAGCAUGUGGUUUAAUUCGAAGCAACGCGAAGAACCUUACCAAAUCUUGACAUCCUUUGACAACUCUAGAGAUAGAGCCUUCCCCUUCGGGGGACAAAGUGACAGGUGGUGCAUGGUUGUCGUCAGCUCGUGUCGUGAGAUGUUGGGUUAAGUCCCGCAACGAGCGCAACCCUUAAGCUUAGUUGCCAUCAUUAAGUUGGGCACUCUAAGUUGACUGCCGGUGACAAACCGGAGGAAGGUGGGGAUGACGUCAAAUCAUCAUGCCCCUUAUGAUUUGGGCUACACACGUGCUACAAUGGACAAUACAAAGGGCAGCGAAACCGCGAGGUCAAGCAAAUCCCAUAAAGUUGUUCUCAGUUCGGAUUGUAGUCUGCAACUCGACUACAUGAAGCUGGAAUCGCUAGUAAUCGUAGAUCAGCAUGCUACGGUGAAUACGUUCCCGGGUCU
rnacentral:rRNA from 1 species